AUACGACGCUCAUUAGACCCCAUGAAAGGUGUUGGUUGCUUUAGACAGCAGGACGGUGGCCAUGGAAGUCGGAAUCCGCUAAGGAAGUGUGUACUAACUCACCUGCCGAAGCAACUAGCCCUGAAAAUGGAUGGCGCUCAAGCGUCGAGCCUAUACCCGGCCGCCGGGGCAGAGCAGGCCCUCCAAGGUUUUCUUCGGAAACGAGAGCCCACAGGCCCCGGCGAGUAGGAGGGUCGCGACGGUGUGCGCAGAAGGGUCUGGGCGUGAGCCUGCCUGGAGCCGCCGUCGGUGCAGAUCUUGGUAGUAGUAGCAAAUACUCAAGUGAGAUCCUUGAGGGCUGAUUGUGGAGAAGGGUUCCAUGUAAACAGCCUUUGAACAUGGUUCAGUCGAUCCUAAGCCUUAGGAGAAAUCCGUUCCCAACCUUUGCGGCCAAAUCAAACACAAAAACUAAAAUCAAAUAAGUUGCCGCGGGAACAGGCGAAAGGGAAUCCGGUACUUAUUCCGGAACCUGGUCACGGACAGUUAGGGGGGAAGCUCUGUUUUCACCCACGCUGCAAAGCAAACGAACUCGGAGACAUCGAACGGAACCCCGGGAAGAGUUUUCUUUUCUGCAUAAGGGACCUUAGACCCUGGAAUCGGCUCGCACGGAGAGAGGGUUUGGGUCCCGAAGAGCGCCGCGGUUCUUGCGGCGUCCGGAUGGUUUCGCUCGAUCCUUGAAAAUCCGAGGGAGGGCUCACCACUUUCGUGCCAGCUCGUACCCAUAUCCGCAGCAGGUCUCCAAGGUGAACAGCCUCUAGUCGAUAGAAUAAUGUAGGUAAGGGAAGUCGGCAAAUUAGAUCCGUAACUUCGGGACAAGGAUUGGCUCUGAGGUUGGGCCGGUCCGGCUUGGUCGGGAAACGGGUAGCGACUUCGUAUCGGGACUGA
rnacentral:rRNA from 1 species